GUGUACCAGUUGUCGUGCCAACGGCAUAGCUGGGUAGCUAUGUAUGGACGGGAUAAGUGCUGAAAGCAUCUAAGCAUGAAGCCCCCCUCGAGAUGAGAUUUCCCAACUUCGGUUAUAAGAUCCCUCAAAGAUGAUGAGGUGAAUAGGUUCGAGGUGGAAGCGUAGCGAUACGUGGAGCUGACGAAUACUAAUCGAUCGAAGACUUAAUCAACAU
rnacentral:rRNA from 1 species